GGGGGCGCCUGGUUUCGACGGGUGUAAUAGAGCUUUUAGCUGCAUGUCGAGGAUUCUUGGUCACCUCGUAAAUCAACCAGGAACAAUGAUAAGUGCCGAUUACGGUUACGCUGCUGCUGCUUAAUUGUCAGUAGCUAUCUCCUAGCGGGCGCGUUCACCGCCAGCUAAAGAGAUAUCAUAAAAGUGAACUGGCUCUAUGAAUUGUUUGUGUGAUUAGAGUAAGACUUUAGCAAACUAGCUUGCUGCGCGUGAGGUCAUUCAUGUCGUUCAAGCAAAACUUAAUAAUGACCUAAACAUGUAGACGCCAUUUGAACUAUCCAUUCGGACGUGGGUUCGAUUCCCACCGCCUCCACAA
rfam:Bacterium TMED161 isolate TMED161 39791, whole genome shotgun sequence.